GACGAACGCUGGCGGCGUGCUUAACACAUGCAAGUCGAACGAAGAGCGAUGGAAGCUUGCUUCUAUCAAUCUUAGUGGCGAACGGGUGAGUAACGCGUAAUCAACCUGCCCUUCAGAGGGGGACAACAGUUGGAAACGACUGCUAAUACCGCAUACGAUCUAACCUCGGCAUCGAGGACAGAUGAAAGGUGGCCUCUAUGUAUAAGCUAUCACUGAAGGAGGGGAUUGCGUCUGAUUAGCUAGUUGGAGGGGUAACGGCCCACCAAGGCGAUGAUCAGUAGCCGGUCUGAGAGGAUGAACGGCCACAGUGGGACUGAGACACGGCCCAGACUCCUACGGGAGGCAGCAGUGGGGAAUCUUCCGCAAUGGACGAAAGUCUGACGGAGCAACGCCGCGUGAGUGAUGACGGCCGUCGGGUUGUAAAGCUCUGUUAAUCGGGACGAAAGGCCUUCUUGCGAAUAGUGAGAAGGAUUGACGGUACCGGAAGAGAAAGCCACGGCUAACUACGUG
rnacentral:rRNA from 1 species